rnacentral:rRNA from 1 species
AUUGAACGUUGGCGGCAGGCCUAACACAUGCAAGUCGAGCGGGGUUUUCGGACCUAGCGGCGGACGGGUGAGUAAUGCGUAGGAAGCUGCCCGAUAGAGGGGGAUACCAGUUGGAAACGACUGUUAAUACCGCAUAAUGUCUACGGACCAAAGUGUGGGACCUUCGGGCCACAUGCUAUCGGAUGCGCCUACGUGGGAUUAGCUAGUUGGUGAGGUAAUGGCUCACCAAGGCGACGAUCUCUAGCUGGUUUGAGAGGAUGAUCAGCCACACUGGAACUGAGACACGGUCCAGACUCCUACGUGAGGCAGGAGUGGGGAAUAUUGGACAAUGGGCGCAAGCCUGAUCCAGCCAUGCCGCGUGUGUGAAGAAGGCCUUCGGGUUGUAAAGCACUUUCAGCGAGGAGGAAGGGUGGUGUGUUAAUAGCACAUCAUUUUGACGUUACUCGCAGAAGAAGCACCGGCUAACUCUGUGCCAGCCGCCGCCGUAA